rnacentral:rRNA from 1 species
UACGUAGGGGGCAAGCGUUGUCCGGAUUUAUUGGGCGUAAAGAGCGUGUAGGCGGCCAGACAGGUCCGUUGUGAAAACUCGAGGCUCAACCUCGAGACGUCGAUGGAAACUGUCGGGCUAGAGUCCGGAAGAGGGGAGUGGAAUUCCUGGUGUAGCGGUGAAAUGCGCAGAUAUCGUAAGGAAGACCAGUGGCGAAGGCGGGUCUCUGGACAGUUCCUGACGCUGAGACGCGAAAGCGUGGGGAGCGAACAGG